rnacentral:rRNA from 1 species
UACAGAGGUCUCAAGCGUUGUUCGGAUUCAUUGGGCGUAAAGGGUGCGUAGGCGGCGCGGUAAGUCGGGUGUGAAAUCUCGGAGCUUAACUCCGAAACUGCAUUCGAUACUGCCGUGCUUGAGGACUGGAGAGGAGACUGGAAUUUACGGUGUAGCGGUGAAAUGCGUAGAUAUCAGGAAGAAUAUCCGUGGCGAAGGCGGCUCUCUGGGACGGUACUGACGCUGAGACGCGAAAGCGUGGGGAGCGAACAGG